rnacentral:rRNA from 1 species
GAUGAACGCUGGCGGCGUGCCUAAUACAUGCAAGUCGAGCGAAUGGAUUAAGAGCUUGCUCUUAUGAAGUUAGCGGCAGACGGGUGAGUAACACGUGGGUAACCUGCCCGUAAGACUGGGAUAACUCCGGGAAACCGGGGCUAAUACCGGAUAACAUUUUGAACCGCAUGGUUCGAAAUUGAAAGGCGGCUUCGGCUGUCACUUAUGGAUGGACCCGCGUCGCAUUAGCUAGUUGGUGAGGUAACGGCUCACCAAGGCAACGAUGCGUAGCCGACCUGAGAGGGUGAUCGGCCACACUGGGACUGAGACACGGCCCAGACUCCUACGGGAGGCAGCAGUAGGGAAUCUUCCGCAAUGGACGAAAGUCUGACGGAGCAACGCCGCGUGAGUGAUGAAGGCUUUCGGGUCGUAAAACUCUGUUGUUAGGGAAGAACAAGUGCUAGUUGAAUAAGCUGGCACCUUGACGGUGCCUAACCAGAAAGCCACGGCUAACUACGUGCCAGCCGCCGCAGUAA